UACAGAGGUCUCAAGCGUUGUUCGGAUUCAUUGGGCGUAAAGGGUGCGUAGGUGGCGGGGUAAGUCGGAUGUGAAAUCUCGGAGCUCAACUCCGAAAUGGCAUUGGAAACUACUCUGCUAGAGGGUCGGAGGGGGGACUGGAAUACUUGGUGUAGCAGUGAAAUGCGUAGAUAUCAAGUGGAACACCAGUGGCGAAGGCGAGUCCCUGGACGACUCCUGACACUGAGGCACGAAAGCUAGGGGAGCAAACAGG
rnacentral:rRNA from 1 species